GUUCGAGUUGGGUUUGAUUUGGGGAUUCUUUGUUCUACUGAAAAGGGAUUGAGUUAUCACCAAUCGAGUUAGGUUUGAGUUAAAGGAGGAGGAAAGGGUGUUUUCACGGGUUUAGGGAUUGGUGCUCAAAUCCAUUUGAUUGGUUUUACUCCGUCUGGGUUGGAAGAGCAUUCGUUCUACUGAAAGUUAGGGUUAUUAGAUUUUGGGGUUUGACUAGUGGUAAACUGAAAGCAGAGGAGGCACCCAAGAACAUUGAGCACCAAAUUGAAGGGACCCAGAAUGAUACGCUCCGUUAUGGUCUUAAUAGCGUCAAAAGCAACCUCAUUGGCUUUCACCCAGUCGAAUUUGCUCACCAAUUGGCGUAAAAGAUGCAAGAGGAGAUGGAAAGGAGAAUCUUGGCUUAUGAUUUUAUAUGCCUAUUGGAGCCAUACCUUCUUCAAUGCUAGGAUUGGAGACUCUGACAGGAG